rnacentral:tRNA from 3 species
GUAAAUAUAGUUUAAGAAAAAACAUUAGAUUGUGAAUCUAAUAACAGAAGCUGCCAUCUUCUUAUUUACC